GAUAAUCAAUCCUUGUCUUUAUAUCGAUACAUUGAUGAUAUUAUGUUCCCUACUUAAAUUAAUACAUUUUAUUGAUUUGAUUGAAAAUAGGAAUAGAAGAAUUAAUUUUUCCAAAACUGGUACUGAGCUUGGAAGUAGAAGUUUUGUAGUAUAAAAAACACAAAUCAUGUUGGGCUUUGUCAGCUUGUGCAGAAUAUUCCAACG
rnacentral:lncRNA from 1 species